rnacentral:rRNA from 1 species
GAAUCUUGCGCAAUGGGCGAAAGCCUGACGCAGCGACGCCGCGUGGGGGAUGAAGCUUCUCGGAGUGUAAACCCCUUUCGACCCGGACGAAACUCCCGCAAGGGAUUGACGGUACGGGUAUAAGAAGCCCCGGCUAACUCCGUUCCAGCAGCCGCGGUAAGACGUAGGGGGCCAGCGUUGCUCGGAAUUACUGGGCGUAAAGGGUUCGUAGGCGGUGCGGCAAGUCGGAAGUGAAAUCUCCAGGCUUAACUUGGAGGCUGCUCCCGAAACUGCCGUGCUAGAGUGCGGGAGAGGCGAGUGGAAUUGCAGGUGUAGCGGUGAAAUGCGUAGAUAUCUGCAGGAACACCCGUGGCGAAGGCGGCUCGCUGGACCGCAACUGACGCUGAGGAACGAAAGCUAGGGGAGCAAACAGG